rnacentral:tRNA from 1 species
GCCGAGGUAGCUCAGUGGUACCUGCCUGCCGGCAGGCAGGGAGCGAAGGACUGAAAAUCCUUGCGUCGCCAGUUCAAUCCUGGCCCUCGGCACCA